rnacentral:rRNA from 1 species
CAGUCGCCGCGGUAAUACGAAGGGGGCUAGCGUUGCUCGGAAUUACUGGGCGUAAAGGGAGCGUAGGCGGACAUUUAAGUCAGGGGUGAAAUCCCAGAGCUCAACUCUGGAACUGCCUUUGAUACUGGGUGUCUUGAGUGUGAUAGAGGUAUGUGGAACUCCGAGUGUAGAGGUGAAAUUCGUAGAUAUUCGGAAGAACACCAGUGGUGAAGGCGACAUACUGGAUCAUUACUGACGCUAAGGCUCGAAAGCGUGGGGAGCAAACAGGAUUAGAUACCCCAGUAGUCCCUGUCUCUUAUAC